GAAAGAAAUUUACUAAUUUCAAACUGCUGGAGGAAAAGAUGGUUGGUCUUUGACAUCAUUGGAGGUUAGGUGUACACUAAAAGAUCAAUAAGGAAAGAAAAUAGUACCAUGAAGAUCAAUGGGGAAUGCAAAGAGUAAAAGAAAUGGCUGCAGAAUUCGUGAAUCUGUGUUUGUCUUUCACUGGCAGAGCAUAUAUAAAAGGUCUUCCCAUAUGAUAUCUUCAUCAUCGUCCAAGCUACACUUAGAGUUGUUAGCUUGCAACCGAUCAAUCUCUGAACACAGAGUUUGCAGAAGGACAAAGAAUACGUUGGGGUUGAUUGGAAGGCGUGAUUGGUGCAACUGAAUGCUUAUCAUGCUGUAUUCUAGAUCCCUCAGGAGCCCUGAUUCUAACAGUAUCUCCGAGAUGUACUUGUGGCAACACGACGGAUCUUCUGAAGCCAAGAGCCGUCUGGCUUGUAUCUUCAGCACUUAGAAUAUCAUCCUCUGUGGCAAGAGAAAGUCGUAAAGGAGUUAGCAUAAUGCUGGGUUGGCUUUUAUGUAGGCAAAAGAAGGUCUGGCAAAGGGGUAGUGGGGUACCAGUGUGAAGUUAAGUGCCUCACCUUUAAGGACAAUGGAUAUCUUCCUGACAGGGGAUGGGGAUUCA